rnacentral:lncRNA from 1 species
GGCACAUCCUUGGAAAUCAUGAACUACAGCCGUGGGCUCUACACCUACACUUUCAACUAACCUUGGACCAGUACACACCAGGAAAGGAAGAGACACCACCUGCACCCACUGGAAGAAGAGAUGGGAAGACGACAAUAUAAGAACAUAUCCAACAACAGAAAAACCAAUAUGAUGCCACCAGAUUCUAGGGACUUUUUCUUUUUGAGACUCCUUCGUACUCUUGGAAUUAUUUUUAUUUAGUUUCUUACAUUUCCUCAAACUCUAACUUUUUUUAUAAUUCUUAAUAAAGCUUAAUUCAGC